GACAGAGGGUGCAAACGUUGUUCGGAAUUACUGGCGUAAAGCGAGUGUAGGCGGUUUGGUAAGUCGGAUGUGAAAGCCCCGGGCUCAACCCGGGAAGUGCACUCGAUACUGCCAAGCUAGAGUAUCGGAGAGGUUGGUGGAAUUCUCGGUGUAGAGGUGAAAUUCGUAGAUAUCGAGAGGAACACCGGUGGCGAAGGCGGCCAACUGGACGAAUACUGAC
rnacentral:rRNA from 1 species